CCUACGGGAGGCUGCAGUGAGGAAUAGUGGUCAAGGGACGAGAGUCUGAACCAGCCAAGUAGCGUGAAGGAUGACUGCCCUAUGGGUUGUAAACUUCUUUUAUAAAGGAAUAAAACGAGGCACGUGUGCCUUUUUGCAUGUACUUUAUGAAUAAGGAUCGGCUAACUCCGUGCCAGCAGCCGCGGUAAGACGGAGGAUCCGAGCGUUAUCCGGAUUUAUUGGGUUUAAAGGGAGCGUAGAUGGGUUGUUAAGUCAGUUGUGAAAGUUUGCGGCUCAACCGUAAAAUUGCACUUGAUACUGGCAGUCUUGUGUACAGUUGCGGUAGGCGGAAUUCGUGGUGUAGCGG
rnacentral:rRNA from 1 species